UCAUUACAUUUUGAUUAUGGGAGGCCUAUGAAAUCGUCCAUCAAACUGUUUCUUCUGGAUAGUUCACUUAUCUGAGCAAAAAUUUGUAAAAAUGUGUAGUCAUAGUAAAUGGUGUCUGAUUGGGUUGAAAUUUUUUGGAUACAUUCUCGGAACAUAUAGAUAGGUACUGUAAAAUGUUCAUUACGUUUUGAUUAUGGGAGACCUAUGAAAUCGUCCUUCAAGCUGUUUCUUCUGGACAGUUCACUUAUCUGAGCAGUAAAUUUGUAAAAAUCUUUAGUCAUAGUUAAUGGUGUGAGAUUGGGCUGAAAUUUGGUGGAUAUAUGAUAGGAACAUACAGAUUGUUACUACAUAAUUUUCAUUAAGUUUUGAUUAUGGGAGACCUAUGAAAUUGUCUCUCAACCUGUUUAUGCUGGAUAGUUUCACUUAUUAAUUUGAGCAGUAAAUUUACAAAAAAUUAUAGUCAUAGUAAACGGGGUCGGAUUGGGCUAAAUUUGGUGGAUAUAUACUAGGAAAAUACAGAUAGUUACUGUAAAAAGUUUCAUUAUGUUUUGAUUAUGGGAGGCCCAUGAAAUCCUCUCACAAACAUACUGACUUAACAAACUUAAAAUCUGGUAGAGAGCAUUAAUGAGAAAAUAGUUCAUCUUAUUGGUUUGACUUUUAUUUUAUAACAUUGUGGUUCAAUCUUUGGUUAAGGAUGAUCUAUUAUAAUUGUAGAAGGAUGAAUUAUGUGGCAAAGAUAAUGUAGAUAGUGCUUCAAUAAUGUUAUUUGUUCUUGCUUAUUAUAAGGAUGAGUGCAUACGACUGAAGCAUGAAGGAUAAUUUGAUACUAACAUGUUGGAGGAAGAAUAGUGUUGCUCAUCAGUUUUGUUUUGUGGAUCCGUUUGAUGUAUCAUACGUAAACAAGUUUGAUCAUGAUGCACGGACACUGGCUUUGGCAAAUAGGCUUGAGAAUAUAUCCCCUGGUCAAUUAGUCAUAUGUCUAUGCAAUACAAAGUAAGUAUUAUGCAUAUAUUCGUUCUUGUCUCAUUAUUAUUAUUCUUUUCUAAAUUUGCUUAAUCUAUACUUUUUAUUAUAUAUAGGGAUCAUUGGAUUCUUACCGUGUUGGAUCCUCACAAAGAGAUAAUUUAUCAUUUUGAUUCUCAGGGUCCUAGCUUCUAUGUUUGAUAAUGCUUGGAAGACUAUUAUGAACACGGCGAUGUACAUGUUCAAUGUAAAUUAAAAAAAAGAGGCAAGAAACAACCAACUUGGGAAAUCAUGAAGUGUCCAAUACAACCGGAUUUGAAACAAUGUGGAUCUUUUACAUUGCGAUUCAUGAAGGACAUUCUCGAAAAGACUAUAGAGAGUGAUGGUUCUAGCUCUCUACGUUUACUUGAUAAACAAACUUAUGAUCGAAAGGAUAUUGAUGAAGUUCGUGUGGAGUGGGCAAGCCUGUUGAUGGAAAACAUAUAGUACGAUAAAUUCUCGUUUUAGUGUGAUAGACUGUUUGAAUCGACAUAUUUGUAUUGGUGAUACGCACUUCAUACUUUGUACUUUGUGGUUAAUUUUAGGUUUGACAUUGUAUCAAUACUUGCUUACAAGAUUGUUGGAUGAAAUAUUUUG